rnacentral:rRNA from 1 species
GCAGGCGCGAAAACUUUACAAUGCUGGAAACAGCGAUAAGGGGACCCCGAGUGCCAGGUUACAAAUCUGGCUGUCGUGAUGCCUAAAAAGCAUUGCAUAGCAAGGGCCGGGCAAGACCGGUGCCAGCCGCCGCGGUAACACCGGCGGCUCGAGUGGUAACCGUUAUUAUUGGGUCUAAAGGGUCUGUAGCCGGCCGGAUAAGUCUCUUGGGAAAUCUGGCAGCUUAACUGUCAGGCUUUCAGGAGAUACUGUCUGGCUCGAGGCCGGGAGAGGUGAGAGGUACUUCAGGGGUAGGGGUGAAAUCUUGUAAUCCUAGAAGGACCACCGGUGGCGAAGGCGUCUCACUAGAACGAAUCCGACGGUGAGGGACGAAGCCCUGGGGCGCAAACGGGAUUAGAUAC